AGCAGAGUGACGCAGUGGAAGUGUGCUGGGCCCAUAACCCAGAGGUCGUUGGGUCAAAACCAUCCUCUGCUA
rfam:Xenopus tropicalis strain Nigerian Chr08_contig_2925, whole genome shotgun sequence.